rnacentral:rRNA from 1 species
UGCCAGCCGCCGCGGUAAUACGGAGGGUGCAAACGUUGCUCGGAAUCAUUGGGCGUAAAGCGCACGUAGGCGGCUAUCCAAGUUGGAUGUGAAAGCCCUGGGCUCAACCCAGGAAGUGCAUCCAAAACUGGGUGGCUUGAGAUCCGGAGGGGGCCAGAGAAUUCCCGGUGUAGAGGUGAAAUUCGUAGAUAUCGGGAGGAAUACCAGUGGCGAAGGCGCUGGCCUGGACGGCAUCUGACGCUGAGGUGCGAAAGCGUGGGGAGCAAACAGGAUUAGAUA